UUGUCCGGAAUCAUUGGGCGUAAAGCGCGUCUAGGCGGUCCGGUAAGUCCGCUGUGAAAGUCGGGGGCUCAACCCUCGGAUGCCGGUGGAUACUGUCGGGCUUGAGUACGGAAGAGGCGAGUGGAAUUCCUGGUGUAGCGGUGAAAUGCGCAGAUAUCAGGAGGAACACCAAUUGCGAAGGCAGCUCGCUGGGACGUUACUGACGCUGAGACGCGAAAGCGUGGGGAGCAAACAGG
rnacentral:rRNA from 1 species